rnacentral:rRNA from 1 species
GAUGAACGCUGGCGGCGUGCUUAACACAUGCAAGUCGAACGAAGUGGCGGACGGGUGAGUAACGCGUGGGUAACCUGCCUCAUACAGGGGGAUAACAGUUAGAAAUGACUGCUAAUACCGCAUAGUAUGAGAUGGACCCGCGUCUGAUUAGGUAGUUGGUGGGGUAACGGCCUACCAAGCCAACGAUCAGUAGCCGACCUGAGAGGGUGACCGGCCACAUUGGGACUGAGACACGGCCCAAACUCCUACGGGAGGCAGCAGUGGGGAAUAUUGCACAAUGGGGGAAACCCUGAUGCAGCGACGCCGCGUGAGCGAAGAAGUAUUUCGGUAUGUAAAGCUCUAUCAGCAGGGAAGCGGUACCUGACUAAGAAGCACCGGCUAACUCCGUGCCAGCAGCCGCGGUAAUACGGAGGGUGCAAGCGUUAAUCGGAAUUACUGGGCGUAAAGCGCACGCAGGCGGUUUGUUAAGUCAGAUGUGAAAUCCCCGGGCUCAACCUGGGAACUGCAUCUGAUACUGGCAAGCUUGAGUCUCGUAGAGGGGGGUAGAA